CCUACGGGAGGCAGCAGUAAGGAAUAUUGGUCAAUGGACGAAAGUCUGAACCAGCCAUGCCGCGUGAAGGAUUAAGGCCCUCUGGGUUGUAAACUUCUUUUAUCUGGGACGAAAAAAGGGUAUUCUUACUCACUUGACGGUACCAGAGGAAUAAGCACCGGCUAACUCCGUGCCAGCAGCCGCGGUAAUACGGAGGGUGCAAGCGUUAUCCGGAUUUACUGGGUUUAAAGGGUGCGUAGGUGGGCUUGUAAGUCAGUGGUGAAAUCUCCGGGCUUAACCCGGAAACUGCCAUUGAUACUAUAGGUCUUGAAUUAUCUGGAGGUAAGCGGAAUAUGUCAUGUAGCGGUGAAAUGCUUAGAUAUGACAUAGAACACCAAUUGCGAAGGCAGCUUACUACGGAUAUAUUGACACUGAGGCACGAAAGCGUGGGGAUCAAACAGGAUUAGAUACCCUGGUAGUCCACGCCCUAAACGAUGGAUACUCGACAUCAGCGAUACACUGUUGGUGUCUGAGCGAAAGCAUUAAGUAUCCACCUGGAAGUACGAUCGCAAGAUUGAAACUUAAAUGAAUUGACCGG
rnacentral:rRNA from 1 species